GAUGAACGCUGGCGGCGUGCCUAAUACAUGCAAGUCGAGCGAACAGACGAGGAGCUUGCUCCUCUGACGUUAGCGGCGGACGGGUGAGUAACACGUGGAUAACCCUCCUAUAAGACUGGGAUAACUUCGGGAAACCGGAGCUAAUACCGGAUAAUAUAUUGAACCGCAUGGUUCAAUAGUGAAAGACGGUUUUGCUGUCACUUAUAGAUGGAUCCGCGCCGCAUUAGCUAGUUGGUAAGGUAACGGCUUACCAAGGCAACGAUGCGUAGCCGACCUGAGAGGGUGAUCGGCCACACUGGAACUGAGACACGGUCCAGACUCCUACGGGAGGCAGCAGUAGGGAAUCUUCCGCAAUGGGCGAAAGCCUGACGGAGCAACGCCGCGUGAGUGAUGAAGGUCUUCGGAUCGUAAAACUCUGUUAUUAGGGAAGAACAAAUGUGUAAGUAACUAUGCACGUCUUGACGGUACCUAAUCAGAAAGCCACGGCUAACUACGUG
rnacentral:rRNA from 1 species